rnacentral:rRNA from 1 species
UGGGAAGUCUUGCGCAAUGGCCGAAAGGCUGACGCAGCGACGCCGCGUGCGGGAGGAAGCCUUCGGGUGUAAACCGCUGUCAGGGGGAAGAAACCAAGGGUUCGAACAGGGCCUUUGGCUGACGGUACCCACAGAGAGCGCCGUAACUACGUGCCAGCAGCCGCGGUAAUACGUAGGGUGCAAGCGUUAAUCGGAAUUACUGGGCGUAAAGCGUGCGUAGGCGGUUCGGAAAGAAAGAUGUGAAAUCCCAGGGCUCAACCUUGGAACUGCAUUUUUUAACUACCGGGCUAGAGUGUGUCAGAGGGGUGGGUGAAUUCCGCGUGUAGCGGUGAAAUGCGCAGAUAUCAGGAGGAACACCGGUGGCGAAGGCGGCUUGCUGGGCCUGUCCUGACGCUGAGGAGCGAAAGCGUGGGGAGCGAACAGGAUUAGAUACC